AUGGAGGCCCACUUCAGCUCCUGCUGGCAGCGUGGUGGCCGGCUGGGCCCUGGGAUCCACUGCUGGGAUCCGCAUCUCACAACUGAGGCUCUGGUCCUUCAUUGUGUGAAGAGUAAGAGGAAUGCCCUGGCCCUCAACUUUGAAAGACUUGUAAUGGAACCUCUAAGAAAACAUUACCCACCUGGACAAAUAAGAACCAUGCUGGAUGGUGCUGGAAGUUGUGGACAAGGUCACAGAGUGCCCUGCUGGAAGCAGUAUUUUGGAAAGGAUAAUCGGGAAGCAGUUAUAAUGAGUGGAGUAAGGGGAAGAAUGAAAGAAGAAUACCCAAUGCGUAGAAACCAACUUCUAUCAUGGAAGUUCAGCCCUGUCAAAUCCCCCUUGGAAUGGAUGGACAGACAAGUCAGCACACUUGAGCAGAGUGCUCUCUCAGCAGCACUAUGCAUCUCCCUCCCACGCUCUGAGAAUUGGGCCUAAUGGGCUCUUGUGAAUUUACCAUCUGGAAUAAGAAGCACUGAUCUACCAUAUACUACUGUCCCUCUCCAAAGGGGCAAAGGCCUCGAUAGCAGUGUGCCUGCUUCUUCGCAGACAUGGAAGCCACAGAAGCACUGGAAUCUGGUGACUCCUCUGAGAAGAUGAUUCACUGUCAUGAAUAUCCAAGUCUCUACACCUUUGCCCACCUGCAGGCUUCUGACUCACCCCUUUCCCCCUUGAUGAUCCAUCAGCUUUCUGAAAAUGAAACCAUCUCCAGGAAGUCUAGGCUGCCAGAGAUCCAGAUAGAUGAUGAAGAGUAAAGAAAUGAGCCAGCCCAGGGAAUAAUUAUGAAGUCGGUAGCAUUGGCCUUUAGGUCCUAUGGUCUGUUAUAUCUCCCCACCCCCUCACCUCCCUUUUUGUGCUGCUUUCACGAACACCAGGAUACUGACCACUCCUAUUCUUCCCCUUCCUGGACCUGUUCCAGUAGGUGCUUAGUGGUCCAUGCCUCCUGCAUCAAAUUACUAUUCUUUGUCCUGAUCCAUUAGUGGUGGUUAACUAGGGCUUUAGUUGCUAAGUUGUGUCCAACUCUUGUGACCCCAUGGGCUGUAGCCUGCCAGGCUCCUCUGUCAAUGGGAUUCUCAAGGCAAGAAUACUGGAGUGGGUUUCCAUUUCCUUCUCCAAGGGAUCUUCCGACCCAGGAAUCGAACCCAGGUCUCCUGCAUUUCAGGCAGACUCUUUACUGACUGAGCCAUCAGGGAAGCCCGACCCAUUAGCAGGGGACCAAUUAGAUGUAUUCCAGUGGGAAUAUGUCCAUGAGGAUUCAGUGGUUGAGAAUAAUACUUUAUUGUGCUAUCUUCUCUGGGAGAUAUUUUGAAGGGAGCCCUAAAGGGUACUGUGACUCAAUCAGACUCUUGCAGCCUCUAUAGCAGGCUGGUGGGGAAGGCUUAUAGUGCUAAUCUAUGUGUCAGAGCACAAAGAGGCAGCCUGAGGAUUCAAGAAGAUGCCAUACUUGUUUUGAAUGCGUGGUUGCCUCCCUCUCACACUUUUGUACGUGAUGCUUCAAGCACCAGCUGAUUGGCUAAAUUUUCCCCAUAUUUUUAUCACCUUCAAAUUCAGUAUGACUCUUCUUGAACUUAAACUAAAAAAUGUCAUUGUGUGGCCAUUUGUCCAUACUCACAUUUCACCUUGGGAGCUUACUCACCUGAGAAGCUGAUCAUUUUGGGACGAUGGCUAUAGCCUUCCUUUUCAUACUUGUAGAGUGUAAGGCAGGAGUGCAAGUGGAGGACCAUAUAACAUAUGUCUAAAUAUUUCAUAAUGUUGUAAAUCAAGCUAAUGGACUAUUACAUCGAAUCCGUCCAUCUUCCUAUCUUGACAAUUAUACCUUCUUAAUAGCAAAAUUGACAAAUAUGUUUAAAGCUAUUCUUGUUAUAUGACUGAAGGUUGGCAGAAAAUCGAAGAUGACAGAAUUUAAUUGUCUCUCUACAUAUAGAAAUAAUUUUUAUUAUUGAUGAUGUUUGGCUAAUUAAUAAAACAAAUG
rnacentral:lncRNA from 1 species